GUGGCCAAGUGCCCCUUCAGGAAAGCUGUUUGCCUCACCCGGCCCGCAGGCUGGUCUGUGCUCAGUUAGACACGUCUUCACCUGGUCAAGUUCUUAGGCGAAGGGACCCGGGCACAGAACCCUGAGGAAUCUGGAGGUGCAAAGAAGCUCCCAGGCUCUCAUCACACUGGAAGAGUGCUUCACUGAGAUGAGACCCCCUCAGGGCAGACCCCUGCUCCUUUGCUCACCAGCCAGUCACAUCCCUGUGACAGCUCCCUGUAUAGGAAUGACUAAUUCCAUAAAGAACCCACACAGUGCCUGGCAUAUAGUAGAAUGCAGGACUCUGAGAAACAAGCAGCAAAUAAAAUCUAUAAUGACUUGUUGCAGCAGCCUGAGCAGAACAAGACAAAGCCACGCAUAUUUGGAAUCCAGAUAGUGUGCCUGUCCAGGGAGGAGGCCACACGGCUUACCAACCUCUCCUCGUAUGUUGGUCAACGAUCCUCGUUUAAAGUUAAGGGAGAUUUUCUCUAAUUGGCUUUUUCAGCAAACAGUAAAAUUCCUUACCCAAA